GAAGUAUAGCUUAGGGGUGGAGCACUUGCCUAGCAUGCACAAGGCCCUGGGUUCAAUCCCCAGUCUCA
rnacentral:tRNA from 1 species